CCUCUUUCCCCAUCCCCCAACCUACCCUUCUCAUGAAGUCAGGCCUUGUUCUCAGUCCUUCCUUCCCCCCUCAGCCCUGCGCUCGGGUCAACAAGUUCCC